rnacentral:rRNA from 1 species
UGUUGCCUCGGCGGGAUUUCUGCCCCGGGCGCGUCGCAGCCCCGGACCAAGGCGCCCGCCGGAGGACCAAUUUACAAACUCUUUUGUAUAUCCCAUCGCGGAUUCUUUACAUUCUGAGCUUUCUCGGCGCUCCUAGCGAGCGUUUCGAAAAUGAAUCAAAACUUUCAACAACGGAUCUCUUGGUUCUGGCAUCGAUGAAGAACGCAGCGAAAUGCGAUAAGUAAUGUGAAUUGCAGAAUUCAGUGAAUCAUCGAAUCUUUGAACGCACAUUGCGCCCGCCAGUAUUCUGGCGGGCAUGCCUGUCCGAGCGUCAUUUCAACCCUCGAACCCCUCCGGGGGGUCGGCGUUGGGGAUCGGCACUUACCUGCCGGCCCCGAAAUACAGUGGCGGUCUCGCCGCAGCCUCUCCUGCGCAGUAGUUUGCACACUCGCACCGGGAGCGCGGCGCGUCCACGGCCGUAAAACAACCCAAACUUCUGAAAUGUUGACCUCGGAUCAGGUAGGAAUACCCGCUGAACUUAAGCAUAUCAAUAA